UGGAUCCAGACUUUGACUCUGGCUCAGGAUGAACGCUAGCUACAGGCUUAACACAUGCAAGUCGAGGGGCAGCGAUGAAGAAAGCUUGCUUUCUUCAGGCGGCGACCGGCGCACGGGUGAGUAACGCGUAUCGAACCUGCCUCAUACUCAGGAAUAGCCUUGCGAAAGUAAGAUUAAUGCCCGAUGUUAUUAGGAUAUCACAUGAUGUUUUAAUUAAAGAUUUAUCGGUAUGAGAUGGCGAUGCGUCCCAUUAGCUUGUUGGCGGGGUAACGGCCCACCAAGGCAUCGAUGGGUAGGGGUUCUGAGAGGAAGGUCCCCCACAUUGGAACUGAGACACGGUCCAAACUCCUACGGGAGGCAGCAGUGAGGAAUAUUGGUCAAUGGACGCAAGUCUGAACCAGCCAAGUAGCGUGCAGGAAGACGGCCCUCUGGGUUGUAAACUGCUUUUAGUUGGGAAUAAAGUGCACCACGCGUGGUGUUUUGUAUGUACCAUCAGAAAAAGGACCGGCUAAUUCCGUGCCAGCAGCCGCGGUAAUACGGAAGGUCCAGGCGUUAUCCGGAUUUAUUGGGUUUAAAGGGAGCGCAGGCGGACCUUUAAGUCAGCUGUGAAAUACGGCGGCUCAACCGUCGAACUGCAGUUGAUACUGGAGGUCUUGAGUGCACACAGGGAUACUGGAAUUCAUGGUGUAGCGGUGAAAUGCUCAGAUAUCAUGAAGAACUCCGAUCGCGAAGGCAGGUAUCCGGGGUGCAACUGACGCUGAGGCUCGAAAGUGCGGGUAUCAAACAGGAUUAGAUACCCUGGUAGUCCGCACAGUAAACGAUGAAUACUCGCGAUUUGCGAUACACAGUAAGUCGCCAAGCGAAAGCGUUAAGUAUUCCACCUGGGGAGUACGCCGGCAACGGUGCAACUCAAAGGAAUUGACGGA
rnacentral:rRNA from 1 species